rnacentral:tRNA from 1 species
GGUUCUAUAGUGUAGUGGUUAUCACGUCUGCUUUACACGCAGAAGGUCCUGGGUUUGAUCCCCAGUGGAACCU